ACUGAACGCUGGCGGCAGGCCUAACACAUGCAAGUCGAACGAGUGGCGGACGGGUGAGUAAUGUCUGGGAAACUGCCUGAGGGAGGGGGAUAACUACUGGAAACGGUAGCUAAUACCGCAUACCAUCAGAAGUGCCCAGAUGGUAUUAGCUUGUUGGUGGGGUAACGGCUCACGAAGGCGACGAUCCCUAGCUGGUCUGAGAGGAAGACCAGCCACACAGUAAAUGCUACACAGUCCAGACUCCAACUGGAGGCUACAGUAGGGAAUAUUGCACAAUGAGCGCGAGCCUGCUGCAGCCGUACCGCGUGUAUGAAGAAGGCCUUCGGGUUGUAAAGUACGUUCAGCGGGGCGGCAAUGCCCGGAGAAGGAGCACCGGCUAACUCCGUGCCGGCAACCGCGGUAAUAC
rnacentral:rRNA from 1 species